rnacentral:rRNA from 1 species
UGGAGAGUUUGAUCCUGGCUCAGGACGAACGCUGGCGGCGUGCCUAAUACAUGCAAGUCGAGCGAACCGACGGGAGCUUGCUCCCUUAGGUUAGCGGCGGACGGGUGAGUAACACGUGGGUAACCUGCCUGUAAGACUGGGAUAACUCCGGGAAACCGGGGCUAAUACCGGAUGCUUGAUUGAACCGCAUGGUUCAAUUAUAAAAGGUGGCUUCGGCUACCACUUACAGAUGGACCCGCGGCGCAUUAGCUAGUUGGUGAGGUAACGGCUCACCAAGGCAACGAUGCGUAGCCGACCUGAGAGGGUGAUCGGCCACACUGGGACUGAGACACGGCCCAGACUCCUACGGGAGGCAGCAGUAGGGAAUCUUCCGCAAUGGACGAAAGUCUGACGGAGCAACGCCGCGUGAGUGAUGAAGGUUUUCGGAUCGUAAAACUCUGUUGUUAGGGAAGAACAAGUACCGUUCGAAUAGGGCGGUACCUUGACGGUACCUAACCAGAAAGCCACGGCUAACUACGUGCCAGCAGCCGCGGUAAUACGUAGGUGGCAAGCGUUGUCCGGAAUUAUUGGGCGUAAAGCGCGCGCAGGCGGCUUCUUAAGUCUGAUGUGAAAGCCCCCGGCUCAACCGGGGAGGGUCAUUGGAAACUGGGGAACUUGAGUGCAGAAGAGGAGAGUGGAAUUCCACGUGUAGCGGUGAAAUGCGUAGAGAUGUGGAGGAACACCAGUGGCGAAGGCGACUCUCUGGUCUGUAACUGACGCUGAGGCGCGAAAGCGUGGGGAGCGAACAGGAUUAGAUACCCUGGUAGUCCACGCCGUAAACGAUGAGUGCUAAGUGUUAGAGGGUUUCCGCCCUUUAGUGCUGCAGCAAACGCAUUAAGCACUCCGCCUGGGGAGUACGGUCGCAAGACUGAAACUCAAAGGAAUUGACGGGGGCCCGCACAAGCGGUGGAGCAUGUGGUUUAAUUCGAAGCAACGCGAAGAACCUUACCAGGUCUUGACAUCCUCUGACAACCCUAGAGAUAGGGCUUCCCCUUCGGGGGCAGAGUGACAGGUGGUGCAUGGUUGUCGUCAGCUCG